AUCGCUUCUGGGCCUUUUGGCUAAGAUCAAGUGUAGUAUCUAUUCUUAUCAGUUUAAUAUCUGAUAUACCCUCUAUCCGAGGACAAUAUAUUAAAUGGAUUUUUGGAAGUAGGAGUUGGAAUAGGAACUUGCUCUGUCCACUCCAUGCAAAAAAAAAAAAAAAAAAAGAACAAAUAGCUCAUCAGCACACCUA